CCUGCCGGACCUGACUGCUAUCGGAUUGAUACUAAGCCAUGCGAGUCUUUGUAGUAAUACAAGGCAGACGGCUCAGUAACACGUAGUCAACCUACCCUAUGGACGAGAAUAAUCUCGGGAAACUGGGCAUAAUUCUUGAUAGAUCAUAAUGCCUGGAAUGGUUUAUGGUUAAAAUGAUUCGUCGCCAUAGGAUGGGACUGCGGCCUAUCAGCUUGUUGGUGAGGUAAUGGCCCACCAAGGCGAUUACAGGUACGGGCUCUGAGAGGAGAAGCCCGGAGAUGGGUACUGAGACACGGACCCAGGCCCUAUGGGGCGCAGCAGGCGAGAAAACUUUGCAAUGUGCGAAAGCACGACAAGGUUAAUCCGAGUGAUUUCUGCUAAAGAAAUCUUUUGCCAGUCAUAAAACCACUGGUGAAUAAGGGGUGGGCAAGUUCUGGUGUCAGCCGCCGCGGUAAAACCAGCACCUCAAGUGGUCAGGAUGAUUAUUGGGCCUAAAGCAUCCGUAGCCGGCUUUGUUAGUUUUCGGUUAAAUCCAUGUGCUCAACACAUGGGCUGCCGAAAAUACUGCAUGGCUAGGGAGUGGGAGAGGUAGACGGUACUCAGUAGGAAGGGGUAAAAUCCUUUGAUCUAUUGAUGACCACCUGUGGCGAAGGCGGUCUACCAGAACACGUUCGACGGUGAGGGAUGAAAGCUGGGGGAGCAAACCGGAUUAGAUACCCGGGUAGUCCCAGCUGUAAACGAUGCAGACUCGAUGAUGCAUUGGCAUAAUAGCCAGUGCAGUGUCGCAGGGAAGCCGUUAAGUCUGCCGCCUGGGAAGUACGUACGCAAGUAUGAAACUUAAAGGAAUUGGCGGGGGAGCACCACAAGGGGUGAAGCCUGCGGUUCAA
rnacentral:rRNA from 1 species